ACGAACGCUGGCGGCGUGCUUAACACAUGCAAGUCGAGCGGUAAGGCCCUUUCGGGGGUACGACGAGCGGCGAACGGGUGAGUAACACGUGGGUGACCUGCCCUUACGCUCUGGGAUAAGCCUGGGAAACUGGGUCUAAUACCGGAUAUGACUCCAUGACGCAUGUUGUGGGGUGGAAAGCCUUGUGCGGCUAGGGAUGGGCCCGCGGCCUAUCAGCUUGUUGGUGGGGUGAUGGCCUACCAAGGCGACGACGGGUAGCCGGCCUGAGAGGGCGACCGGCCACACUGGGACUGAGACACGGCCCAGACUCCUACGGGAGGCAGCAGUGGGGAAUCUUGCGCAAUGGGCGAAAGCCUGACGCAGCGACGCCGCGUGAGGGAUGACGGCCU
rnacentral:rRNA from 1 species